rnacentral:RNase_P_RNA from 2 species
GCAGUCGUCCAGGCGAUCGCUGGCAGAGGGACGCGAGUCCGCUGUUCAGAGGAAAGUCCGAACUCCGCAGGGCAGUGCGCCGGGUAACGCCCGGGCGGGGCAACCCGACGGAAAGUGGCACAGAAAACAUACCGCUCGCCGUAGCUCGAGCCCGCAAGGGCGAGAGCGAAGGCGAGUAAGGGUGAAAAGGUGCGGUAAGAGCGCACCGCGCGGCCGGCAACGGACGUGGCAGGCAAAACCCCGCACGGAGCAAGACCAAAUAGGGAGGCGCUCGAGGACGGCCCGUCCGAAGCCUCCGGGUAGGUUGCUCGAGGCCGUCAGCAAUGCCGGUCCCAGAGGAAUGAUCGCCCGCCCGCGUGGCUGCAAGGCUGCGCGGGUCGACAGAAUUCGGCUUACCGGACGACUGCCGCA